UUGCAGACUAAAUGGUAUCAAUGAUUGUGGUGAGAGACGCAAGCAUAUCUAUCAAAAAGCUAUGCUACUCGUGGAGCAAGUUAAAGUGAGCAAAGGCAGCCCUGUUGUUACUUGCCUCUUGGAAAGUCCUGGUGCCUGAUUUCUGCAGAAUCCAUGAUUGGUCUCAGCGAAAACACUAAAUGUGCACGAAUUGUCAAGUGUCCGAAGUGAUCGCUUCUUUUCAAUCCUAAUGUAGACCUUUGAGGAUGCUUACAGAUUCCAGUAAAGCAUUAUAGUCCUUGAUGACAUUGAAAGGUAUUAGAAUCAUGUCGUCUAAUCCAUCAGUUCAAGCUUCUAAUGAAGAACCCACGGUCGAACCCUCCGUUGAACCGAUCAUUGAACCCGCAGUAGAAGAGUCUUCUAUUAAAACAGAGGAAAAAUCUGAAAAAAGGGGAAAAAAGUUGUAGUUUGUGAGGGCCUGUUAUGGUGUUAUGAGGUUUGUCAUACAAAAUAGCAACAAAGUCUUGAGGUUACUGGGGUACGUUGCUAUUGGAUCUCGCUUUUCAAAUAUUAUUUCGCAAACAUUGUUGGUUCUUCUAAAACAGGCUUCCUCCAAAGGGUAAGAACAUGUUGGUAAUUGAAACGACAAGCGAGAUGGGAUUUCUUGAGUCCCUUGGAAUUUGGGGUGCUUUCUCCAUCAGUUAGUAUUUGUGAUGCUUUCUCCGUCAAUUAUCAUGUUCCUACAUUGGAUAAGCGAGAUGCCAAAAAGAGGAUGACAUUGAUUCAGCAUCUGAAGCAGUCCACAACAUGCAGCUGAAGAAACUAUAUAUGCCCGAGGAAAUGGCUGCUCAGGGAGCAAAGGGUGGAAGUUCAGAAAGCUAAUUUACCCUGGCAAAGAGAAGAUAGACAUGAACCAUUUCUAUGAUAUUUUGGGUGAUAUUGUGUCGUUCUGCUGUUGAGAGCCCUUUGUUGAUUCUUUACGUGCGGGAUUUCUUUUCUACAUUUUGCUAUCUUCGAUUGGGUUUUUUCCUCUUCCCACUCUUUUCCUUUUUCUGUGAACUGGAUUUGCCCUAUUUUGUUGUAGUCCUCCUUUAACUACUAUCGGCAAGAGGGUUUUCAAUAUGGGGAUAUAUACGCGCCGAACGCAUGAUUUUUUUCCUACAGAGGAUUGUCUUUGGUCUGAUACUCCUAUUGUACGUCCAUAUAUUAAUCAGUACUUAAUUGAACGAUAUAGAUUUUCUGAUCUUGUAUCUGUAGAGAAAGUAUGUACGUUAUUAUUAGACUCAAGGAUGUCACCAAAAUUUGAAGGUAAAAAUGUACCCAUGUAUAGU